CUGUGCAAAGGUAGCAUAAUCAUUAGCUUUUUAAUUGAAGGCUUGUAUGAAGGGUCUGACAAAGAAAAAGCUGUCUUUAAAAUUAUUUUUGAAUUUAACUUUUAAGUGAAAAGGCUUAAAUAAAUUUAAGGGACGAUAAGACCCUAUAAAUCUUUAUAUUAAAUUAUUAUUCUGAAUUUUAAUAUUUGUUUAGAUUAUUAGUUAUAGUAAUAAAUAUUUUGUUGGGGUGACGAGAAUAUAAUAUUAACUGUUCUUAAAAGAAACAAAGUUAUUUGUUUAAAAAUUUAUAGAUCCUUUUUAAAGAUUAAAAGUUUAAGUUACUUUAGGGAUAACAGCGUUAUUUUUUUUGAGAGUUCAUAUCGAAAAAAAAGUUUGCGACCUCGAUGUUGAAUUAAAAUUUCUCUACGGUGUAGAAGUUGUGGAAGAGAGUCUGUUCGACUUUUGAAAUUUU
rnacentral:rRNA from 1 species